GGGCGUGCCUGCGGGACUGUCCUCGGUGCGCAGCACGCUGGGCGCCGCACCACCGCCUCGCCUCCCGUCAAGGCUUCAAGAACUGGAAGAGGAAAGAAUUUAAAAGGCACCACUCCCUCCAUGCGCAGCAUAUUCUUAGAUCCUUCACUUUUUCAACUGUUCUCUUUAAGAGGAUGAGCCUUGGGUACCAUCACAGCACCAGCACCAUCGUUGAAGUGCAUUCUCUCCUGGCCAGGGCUAUGAGCCAAGGCUCUGCCUCCAUACAAGAUCUUUCUGGACCAGUGUGGAUGGGGGAAUCUAAUACUGAAAGUGGAGGGAAUUCUGCUUCCCCUUGGCCACGGUGCUUCUCUGUUUUCUCCUACUGCUCCCCUGAGCUCUUGUGUUCUGUUUUUGCCCAAAUAGGGGAGAGAAGCCAGCAGGGAAUUGCAGCCACACACACACACACACACACACACACACACACAUACAUACACACACACACGGUCCCUGCUCUCCUUCCUACCCAUGACCUGCUUCCAUGAGCCUGCAUUUUUAUCCUUCCUUCCUUCCUUCCACCCAACACUUGGCUUGCUUCCUCCCCUCUUCCAGGUAAGGUCUUUAGCUCACACAGCUUUCCAAAGACUUGUUGUUGUCUAUUGUUGCAGCAAGCAAGACAAAAGCAGGCCUUCCCCUCCACAGGUGGGGCAAGCUCUCAGUGCCUGCCUUCUCCCGCCCUGCACACUCAGGAGUACAAGCAUGAAGCCAGAAACACACCUUAGUCCUCUUGAGAGGUUUGCAUUCCUCUUGACAACUAAGCACACGCGGCUGGAGCGACUCCGAAGCACUUGCUUGGCAAGUGCUGUUCAAUCUACGGGCUUCUCAAACUCACAUGAAAUCCCUGGCUCCAGUGGUCUAGGUUUGCUUACCAUCUGAUUCUGUGGACAAGCCAAGCUUAAGUGUAUUUUAAACUAUAUUUUAUUUAAGUUAGUAAUGCUUAUAGUAGUUUAUGUGAUUUUUAGAUCUCCCAUAAAAUGCCUUAAAUACAGAAGACAUUAGGUCAUCAAAUGGGGAUGGAUAAAACACGGAUUAAAAUAAAGUGAGACACCAUGCAAUCCAUAUCUUAUCUUGGAUUUUAAUUAAAAAUAAAGAUCCUGGCAGAGUUUAAUCCCGCACACCUUGAUCCCUGCAGCAGGUGGAUUUCUCUGAGUUUGAGGUCAGCCUAGUCUGCAUAGACAGUUCCAGGACAGCCAGGGCUACAUAGAGAGACCCUGCCUCAAUCAGUCAAUUAACCAGCCAAUAAAUCCUGGUGUGACAAGUGGCAAGGGCUGAGCUUCCACGUUUUCGGGUGAAAUCUGUUUAUUCACCGUAUAACACACAAAACAAUGACGCAUUACUGCUGCGGCUGGAAAGACGGCUGGCUCAUCAGAUAACAGUACUCAUUGCUCUUCAGAGGGUUUGGAUUUGGUUCCCAGCACCCACAUGGUGGCUCACAACCAUUCAUAAAUCAAGUUCCUGGGGAACCUAAUUCCCUCUUCUGGCCUCUGUGGGUAUCAGGCCCACAGAUGUGUAUGCAGAUGAAACACUCGUACACAUAAAAUAAUCUUAUAAAAUAUUACUACCAAGUUAGGAGAAGAUUCCCAUCUAAAGCACGACAGUGGAGGGCGGAGGAGUCCUGAGUAACUCCACGGCCCUCGGAAGAAAACGGCUUCAAGUUUUCAACUCUCUAUCCAGCCUAUGGAAGAAACUCAGGAAGUUGCAGAUAAUGACUGCAAGUAUAUCCGAUCCCAGGGAGUGGAGAAAACUGUCUUUCCCAGUCUUCUCUUACCUCCAAAUGAUCUUUCUCCUUCUCAGACUCAAAACAAGCAGCACCCCAAACCUUGGGAGCAGAGGACCGCUCCUUGGUGAAGCACAGAGCUUUAUGUCACACUGAGCGUCAUGCCCCAGACAGCUGGAAUGAGCCUUGGCUUUCAUUCACCCCUCUGAAUGGGCAGGAGAGGGCUCUGAACUAUCCGACCCACCCACUGUCCUGAACACUCUUGGUGAGCCAGCUGAGACUGAGAGACACUUCACGGAGGGAGUUGUAAGCUUUCUACGAUGUGAAGAACAUAUGGCUCAGAAUUAGCAAUCAUAGAAGGCAGGUUGUCUUUCCUUCUCAGAGGGUGUGCACGGACUUUGAAGCCCUCCACCACAACAAGAUGAAAAGCAAAUCAGCUGAAACCCUUUCGGAACAAUUAACCUCUGCACUUUAAAAUCCCAUCGCCCGGGAAACUCUCCAUAAAUUGGGGUUGUAUCAUAGAACUGUCUUUCAGACAGCCCCUAGCUGUGGGAGGGGAGCACCAACUGCCACAGCGGGGAAGGAGCCACAGUCCACACUUCCCAGGCCCACUACCACCCUUCUCUAUUUGUCACCAAUAAAGACAGAGAAAGUCUCGC
ensembl:lincRNA Gm26783 predicted gene, 26783